ACACAUGGGACAAGUGCCAUCCACAUCCGGACCACACCUAGGGCAGCCUGUGGACAGCCCCCAGAACUAUAGCUGAGGGUCCCACCCUUCCCACCCACAUACACUUUCUGAACACUCUGCUCCGGGCAAAGGGUACCUGAGUGCAGCAGCAGGGCCGUUGGAGCAGCUUUCCCAGGGCUGUCAGCAGUGACCCAGGGAGACCUCCCUCACAGCCUACUUCCUUGUUCCUGAGCAGAGCUAUCCAAUGGAAGUACCCAGAGCCCACACACUCCCUACAGAUUUUUAUGUUGGACAUAAAACAAUGAACAGAGACUAAUGUUGCCCUAGAUGUACCAAGCCUCCUAUAGAGAUUCGUACUGCCCAGCCAAACAUGAAGCACCCACUAUAUGCAAACAUCAGGCUGGGGCCAGUAGGGGAAACCAUAUCUGUGAACAGGUAAUUCUCAUACGCAGCAGAAUAAGACAGGGGCUGAAUAUCGGGACACACAUCGUGCUCCCCUGUCCAGAGGCUGAUUCAUUCCAGCUGCUGAGAUCAGGGAAGGUUUCAUUCAGGCGGGGCCCUUGCUUUGAGAGAGAAGCAGAAUUUAAAGUGCAGAGUGGGGAGGCUGGGGUGAAGGCCGGGAGUGGCCUCUCCUGGCCAAUCCUGACUGUUCUGCCACUGGGAACCUUGGUCAGGAGGGAGCCCAGGGCAGAACGGAUGGUGGGGUUGGGAAAAACAGCUGCAGGGCCAGCAAAACAAC
rnacentral:lncRNA from 1 species